rnacentral:lncRNA from 1 species
GCAGGAUUUCCAGUCGUGGCGGCGGGGGCAAUCAGACAAGAGGUGCAGCCCGUCCUCGGCGUCCUCGCGGUGGUGCAUCGAGUGGAUCGGCUACGGGCGGGAGCGUUGCGGGAACUCCUGCUGGACGUGACGAUGGUGACGAGCAGGAGCAUGGCAGCAACGUCGGCAUGCACAAUGUGCAAGCUCCAACAAAGAAAUAUGGCCGUAAGUAAAUAAGCUGCCAUGGCACAGAAUCUGUUUUUCAAUUCAACAUCUCAAUAGUUUUUCAAUUCAACAUUUCAAUAUUUUGUAACUUAGGACCAUGGCAGCAAAGAUGUUUAUAUUCUUAUUCAGCAAAGAUGUUUAUAUUCUGAUUUUGUAUUUUGAAAUAUGAUGUCCAAUCUGUGAGUUAGAACAAUACAGUUUGUACAAUUGUUCAUGAUGCUGGUGUGUUAGUUCAUGAUGUGUGCGAUCUGUUCAUAUAAAAACUUGUGACAUAUGUUAGGACCUCCAAGGGGCAGUAGGGGUCGAGGUUCAAGAAAAGGUAGCGGCAGUGGCACUUCGCGCACCCCUGGUGUCCAAGAAAAUGGCGAUGACCUUGGAUACGCUGGUGGCUUUGAUAGCAACUACACGUACGUGCAUUUGUAUUACACAUUGCAAUUUAUAUGUGGUUCACUAUGCACUAAAGAGAAAACUUUUAUGUGUACAGCUUUGGCAACUUUCAAUGAUUCAAUCUGCUCAUGAUGCUGGUGUCUUUGAGCACAUGGACGCUUGCCCGCCUCUACCAGAGUUUCCGCUAGCCCCAAAGAAGAUAUUGGACCUAAGUAAAUCAUGCAACACAUGAUAUGCAUCAUUUCAUUGUACUGAAACAUUUUUCUUGUAAGCAUAAUAUGAUUGUUUCUGUAUCAAAUAAUAUUUGUAAAAUCAAGACAUUUUUAAGUCAUUUUUGUUUUCUUGAAUAGAU